rnacentral:rRNA from 1 species
UGGGGAAUCUUGCGCAAUGGGCGAAAGCCUGACGCAGCCAUGCCGCGUGUAUGAUGAAGGUCUUAGGAUUGUAAAAUACUUUCACCGGGGAAGAUAAUGACGGUACCCGGAGAAGAAGCCCCGGCUAACUUCGUGCCAGCAGCCGCGGUAAUACGAAGGGGGCUAGCGUUGCUCGGAAUUACUGGGCGUAAAGGGCGCGUAGGCGGACAGUUUAGUCAGAGGUGAAAGCCCAGGGCUCAACCUUGGAAUUGCCUUUGAUACUGGCUGUCUUGAGUUCGGGAGAGGUGAGUGGAAUGCCGAGUGUAGAGGUGAAAUUCGUAGAUAUUCGGCGGAACACCAGUGGCGAAGGCGACUCACUGGCCCGAUACUGACGCUGAGGCGCGAAAGCGUGGGGAGCAAACA